rnacentral:sRNA from 1 species
CGGGCCAGUAUUAAGCAUUACCCCGUGGAGGGGUUCCCGAGCGAUCAUAAGGGAGCUGACUGCAAAUCUGCCGUCAUCGACUUCAAGGUUCGACUCGAGCAAUAGUGAGAGAACGUUGCCGCAGGCAACGGCCCGAAGGGUGAGGAGCUUUAGCUCCGAAUAAUCCUUCCCGCUAUAGA